GCAAGUCGAACGGUAACGCGAUGAGCUUGCUCCUUGGCGACGAGUGGCGGACGGGUGAGUAAUACUUAGGAAUCUGCCCAUGUAGUGGGGGACAACUCGGGGAAACUCGAGCUAAUACCGCAUACGCCCUAAGGGGGAAAGCGGGGGCUUUUAGGACCUCGCGCUAUUGGAUGAGCAUAAGUCGGAUUAGCUUGUUGGUGAGGUAAAGGCUCACCAAGGCAGCGAUCCGUAGCUGGUCUGAGAGGACGAUC
rnacentral:rRNA from 1 species